CUUCCAAGCUCUUUGUUGUCAGAUUGAAGCUUAACAUCUGUAUUUUAAAGUAUUCUGUAGUCCGUUUUAUAAAACUAAGUUUAAGAAAGAUUAACUUGUUAAUGAAGUUUGUAUUGUGUUAUAUAUAGUUUGUGGUGAUUUCUGUAUUACAAAUAUUCAUGCGUUCAUUUUUUGGGGGGGCGGGGGGUACUGGGGAUCGAACUCUGGACCUUGCACUUGCAAGGCAGGCGCCAGAACCACUGAGCUAAAUCUUCGGCCCCAGGCAUUCAUUUUUUAUCUACCUUCAAGUCAUCUAACAGCAUGAGCUCAUCCCAGUUCUUGCCCUGGAAGAAACACCCUUACAUUAGUGUGCUCAGAAAGUGUUGUCUUGGCUGUGGUUAUACUGGUUCUUCUUAAUAUCCUUUAAUCCUUCUCUUCCUCCUUCCUCUUUGUUACUGGAGUGUUACACUGUUCCAGAUCCUCCUCACUUUGGAUCUGGACCCUAAUUAGUAUCUCUUUCUCUUGCUUGGCCACUUCCCAGCUGUUCUCAGAGUGAUCUUCCUAAAAUGCCAACAUAGUUUCUCCAACUAAAUCUUUAAAGCGUUGAUAAACUUGCUGUUAGUAAAGUAGAAAUCACUUACUAAGCGCGACAUGCACAGACGGCCCUCCUACCUUCUGAGACAAACAUCCAGGUCAGGCUUUUGUUCCUAUGGAAAGCUGUCUUUUAGUUUUCUUUCUUACUGCAGAUCCUCCAAACAGUUACAGAAGUUAUCAUUCCGUCCUACCCCUGGAUUCCACUCCCUAAUAAUAGCAUUAGUCACAAUGAUUGUCAUUUUAUUUAUGUGCUUGUGUACCCUAACAUAGCCACUGACUCUUCAUUCUAGCACCUUACAUAGACCAUCUAAAAAGUGGAGUGCCCGUUAAAUAUUGUUGAAAAAAUGAAGAAAAUGUCUCCACUGUAAAAUUUUUAGAAGAAAACCAUUCCUUAUCUAAACAGGGUUAAAGUUGUUCACACAAAAUUUGCCAUUAGUAAUUUUUUACAAAUACAUAAUAAUAUAGCAGUUUUAUGCUAAGUAUAAAUCUUGGUUCUGUUUUUUUGUUUGAAAAUACAACUUAUGCAUCAUCAUCAGAGAAGAAAUUAAUGUUUUAAAUUAAAUCACUUUGGGCUCAGGCUUCUCAUCCUCAGCGCUAGUGACAUUUUUGGCCAAAUAAUUAUUUGCUGUGGAGGGUGCUUCUGUGAAUUGUAAUAGUGCCUUUGGGCUCUGCACACUGAAUCUGCUAGAACCUCCCCAGUUGUGGCAGCACAAAAUUUCUUUAUUUUUUCAAAUCAUACUAGCUGUUUUAGACUUUUAAACUUUUUUUGGUUUUUCGCUAUCUCUGAUUACAAUGGAAACUUUAAAUUCUAAUUUUAUAGUAUAUACUUUUUAAAGUAUCAUGCCCUCCACCUCCACAAUACUACCAAAAGGAUCUUCUAAUCAAUGUAACCC
rnacentral:lncRNA from 1 species